rnacentral:rRNA from 1 species
AGCAGCCGCGGUAAUUCCAGCUCCAAUAGCGUAUAUUAAAGUUGUUGCAGUUAAAAAGCUCGUAGUUGAAUUUCGGGAUCAAUACGUCGGUCGUGCUUCGGUACGUACUGGCGUAAUUGAUUUCUCCCUUCUGACGAACCAUGAUGUCAUUAACUUGGUGUCAUGGGAAAUCAGGACUGUUACUUUGAAAAAUUAGAGUGUUUAAAGCAGGCUCACGCUUGAAUACAUUAGCAUGGAAUAAUGAAAUAGGACGUUCGAUCCUAUUUUGUUGGUUUUUAGGAUCAACGUAAUGAUUAAUAGGGAUAGUUGGGGGCAUUAGUAUUCAAUUGUCAGAGGUGAAAUUCUUGGAUUUAUUGAAGACUAACUACUGCGAAAGCAUUUGCCAAGGAUGUUUUCAUUAAUCAAGAACGAAAGUUAGGGGAUCGAAGACGAUCAGAUACCGUCGUAGUCUUAACCAUAAACUAUGCCGACUAGGGAUCGGAUGAUGUUAAUUUUUAANGACUCAUUCGGCGCCUUAAC